GACGAACGCUGGCGGCGUGCUUAACACAUGCAAGUCGAGCGGAAAGGCCACUUCGGUGGUACUCGAGCGGCGAACGGGUGAGUAACACGUGAGUAAUCUGCCCCUGGCUUUGGGAUAGCCACCGGAAACGGUGAUUAAUAACGGAUACGACCACUUCUCGCAUGGGAUGGUGGUGGAAAGUUUUUUCGGCCAGGGAUGUGCUCGCGGCCUAUCAGCUUGAUGGUGAGGUAAUGGCUCACGAUGGCUUCGCCGGGUAGCCGGCCGGGGAGGGUGGCCGGUCACACUGGGCCUGAGACACGGCCCAGACUCCUACGGGAGGCAGCAGUGGGGAAUAUUGGACAAUGGGCGGAAGCCUGAUCCAGCAACGCCGCGUGAGGGAUGACGGCCUUCGGGUUGUAAACCUCUUUCAGCAGGGACGAAGCGCAAGUGACGGUACCUGCAGAAGAAGCACCGGCCAACUACGUGCCAGCAGCCGCCGUAA
rnacentral:rRNA from 1 species